GGCUCAGGAUGAACGCUAGCUACAGGCUUAACACAUGCAAGUCGAGGGGCAGCAUGGUCUUAGCUUGCUAAGGCCGGUGGCGACCGGCGCACGGGUGAGUAACACGUAUCCAACCUGCCGUCUACUCUUGGACAGCCUUCUGAAAGGAAGAUUAAUACAAGAUGGCAUCAUGAGUCCGCAUGUUCACAUGAUUAAAGGUAUUCCGGUAGACGAUGGGGAUGCGUUCCAUUAGAUAGUAGGCGGGGUAACGGCCCACCUAGUCUUCGAUGGAUAGGGGUUCUGAGAGGAAGGUCCCCCACAUUGGAACUGAGACACGGUCCAAACUCCUACGGGAGGCAGCAGUGAGGAAUAUUGGUCAAUGGGCGAGAGCCUGAACCAGCCAAGUAGCGUGAAGGAUGACUGCCCUAUGGGUUGUAAACUUCUUUUAUAAAGGAAUAAAGUCGGGUAUGGAUACCCGUUUGCAUGUACUUUAUGAAUAAGGAUCGGCUAACUCCGUGCCAGCAGCCGCGGUAAUACGGAGGAUCCGAGCGUUAUCCGGAUUUAUUGGGUUUAAAGGGAGCGUAGAUGGAUGUUUAAGUCAGUUGUGAAAGUUUGCGGCUCAACCGUAAAAUUGCAGUUGAUACUGGAUAUCUUGAGUGCAGUUGAGGCAGGCGGAAUUCGUGGUGUAGCGGUGAAAUGCUUAGAUAUCACGAAGAACUCCGAUUGCGAAGGCAGCCUGCUAAGCUGCAACUGACAUUGAGGCUCGAAAGUGUGGGUAUCAAACAGGAUUAGAUACCCUGGUAGUCCACACGGUAAACGAUGAAUACUCGCUGUUUGCGAUAUACAGCAAGCGGCCAAGCGAAAGCGUUAAGUAUUCCACCUGGGGAGUACGCCGGCAACGGUGAAACUCAAAGGAAUUGACGGGGGCCCGCACAAGCGGAGGAACAUGUGGUUUAAUUCGAUGAUACGCGAGGAACCUUACCCGGGCUUAAAUUGCAGAUGAAUUACGGUGAAAGCCGUAAGCCGCAAGGCAUCUGUGAAGGUGCUGCAUGGUUGUCGUCAGCUCGUGCCGUGAGGUGUCGGCUUAAGUGCCAUAACGAGCGCAACCCUUGUUGUCAGUUACUAACAGGUUCCGCUGAGGACUCUGACAAGACUGCCAUCGUAAGAUGUGAGGAAGGUGGGGAUGACGUCAAAUCAGCACGGCCCUUACGUCCGGGGCUACACACGUGUUACAAUGGGGGGUACAGAGGGCCGCUACCACGCGAGUGGAUGCCAAUCCCCAAAACCUCUCUCAGUUCGGACUGGAGUCUGCAACCCGACUCCACGAAGCUGGAUUCGCUAGUAAUCGCGCAUCAGCCACGGCGCGGUGAAUACGUUCCCGGGCCUUGUACACACCGCC
rnacentral:rRNA from 1 species